ACGGGGGGGGCAAGCGUUGUUCGGAAUUACUGGGCGUAAAGGGCGCGUAGGCGGCCUGUUAAGUCAUACGUGAAAUCCCCGGGCUCAACCCGGGAACUGCGUCUGAUACUGGCAGGCUUGAAUCCGGGAGAGGGAUGUGGAAUUCCAGGUGUAGCGGUGAAAUGCGUAGAUAUCUGGAGGAACACCGGUGGCGAAGGCGGCAUCCUGGACCGGCAUUGACGCUGAGGCGCGAAAGCCAGGGGAGCAAACGGGA
rnacentral:rRNA from 1 species